AUUGAACGCUGGCGGCAUGCUUUACACAUGCAAGUCGAACGGCAGCGCGGGCUUCGGCCUGGCGGCGAGUGGCGAACGGGUGAGUAAUACAUCGGAACGUGCCCAGUAGUGGGGGAUAGCUCGGCGAAAGCCGGAUUAAUACCGCAUACGACCUGAGGGUGAAAGCGGGGGAUCUUCGGACCUCGCGCUAUUGGAUCGGCCGAUGGCGGAUUAGCUAGUUGGUGGGGUAAAGGCCUACCAAGGCGACGAUCUGUAGCUGGUCUGAGAGGACGACCAGCCACACUGGAACUGAGACACGGCCCAGACUCCUACGGGAGGCAGCAGUGGGGAAUUUUGGACAAUGGGCGAAAGCCUGAUCCAGCAAUGCCGCGUGUGUGAUGAAGGCCUUCGGGUUGUAAAGCACUUUUGGCGGGAACGAAAAGGACUGUGCCAAUACCACGGUUCGAUGACGGUACCCGCAGAAUAAGCACCGGCUAACUACGUG
rnacentral:rRNA from 1 species